rnacentral:rRNA from 1 species
UACGUAGGGGGCAAGCGUUGUCCGGAUUUAUUGGGCGUAAAGCGCGUGUAGGCGGCCAGGUAGGUCCGUUGUGAAAACUCGAGGCUCAACCUCGAGACGUCGGCGGAAACCAUCUGGCUAGAGUCCGGAAGAGGAGAGUGGAAUUCCUGGUGUAGCGGUGAAAUGCGCAGAUAUCAGGAAGAACACCCGUGGCGAAGGCGGCUCUCUGGGGCGGUACUGACGCUGAGGUGCGAAAGCGUGGGGAGCGAACAGG